rnacentral:rRNA from 1 species
AGCGCAGGCGGGAAGACAAGUUGGAAGUGAAAUCUAUGGGCUCAACCCAUAAACUGCUUUCAAAACUGUUUUUCUUGAGUAGUGCAGAGGUAGGCGGAAUUCCCGGUGUAGCGGUGGAAUGCGUAGAUAUCGGGAGGAACACCAGUGGCGAAGGCGGUCUACUGGGCACCAACUGACGCUGAGGCUCGAAAGCAUGGGUAGCAAACA